UACGUAGGGUGCAAGCGUUUGUCCGGAAUUAUUGGGCGUAAAGAGCUCGUAGGCGGUUUGUUGCGUCGGCUGUGAAAUCCCGAGGCUCAACCUCGGGUCUGCAGUCGAUACGAGCAAACUAGAGUGUUGCAGGGGAGACUGGAAUUCCUGGUGUAGCGGUGAAAUGCGCAGAUAUCAGGAGGAACACCGGUGGCGAAGGCGGGUCUCUGGGCAACAACUGACGCUGGAGGAGCGAAAGCGUGGGGAGCGAACAGG
rnacentral:rRNA from 1 species